rnacentral:rRNA from 1 species
GUGUCAGCAGCCGCGGUAAUACGAACUGUGCGAACGUUAUUCGGAAUCACUGGGCUUACAGGGUGCGUAGGCGGCUACUCAAGUCAGGUGUGAAAGCCCCCGGCUCAACCGGGGAACUGCGCUUGAAACUGGGUGGCUCGAGUCAGCUAGAGGUGCACGGAACUUCCAGUGGAGCGGUGAAAUGUGUUGAUAUUGGAAGGAACACCAGAGGCGUAAGCGGUGCACUGGGGCUGGUCUGACGCUGAGGCACGAAAGCCAGGGGAGCGAACGGGAUUAGAUACCCCAGUAGUCC